GCCCUGGAUAGCUCAACGGUAAGAGCAGUCGCCUGCCAAGCGAAAGAUCCGGGUUCGAUUCCCGGUCCAGGCA
rnacentral:tRNA from 1 species